AUUGAACGCUGGCGGCAUGCUUUACACAUGCAAGUCGAACGGUAACAGGGUGCUUGCACCGCUGACGAGUGGCGAACGGGUGAGUAAUGCGUCGGAACGUGCCGAGUAGUGGGGGAUAACGCAGCGAAAGUUGUGCUAAUACCGCAUACGUACUGAGGUAGUCAGUGGGGGACGUUCGGGCCUCACGACAUUCGAGCGGCCGAAGUCUGAUUAGCUAGUAGGUGAGGUAAAGGCUCACCUAGGCGACGAUCAGUAGCGGGUCUGAGAGGAUGAUCCGCCACACUGGGACUGAGACACGGCCCAGACUCCUACGGGAGGCAGCAGUGGGGAAUUUUGGACAAUGGGCGAAAGCCUGAUCCAGCCAUGCCGCGUGUCUGAAGAAGGCCUUCGGGUUGUAAAGGACUUUUGUCAGGGAGGAAAUCCCUAGUGCUAAUAACACUGGGGGAUGACAGUACCUGAAGAAUAAGCACCGGCUAACUACGUGCCAGCAGCCGCGGUAA
rnacentral:rRNA from 1 species